AUUGAACGCUGGCGGCAGGCCUAACACAUGCAAGUCGAGCGGAUGAAGGGAGCUUGCUCCUGGAUUCAGCGGCGGACGGGUGAGUAAUGCCUAGGAAUCUGCCUGUUAGUGGGGGAUAACGUCCGGAAACGGGCGCUAAUACCGCAUACGUCCUGAGGGAGAAAGUGGGGGAUCUUCGGACCUCACGCUAUCAGAUGAGCCUAGGUCGGAUUAGCUAGUUGGUGGGGUAAAGGCCUACCAAGGCGACGAUCCGUAACUGGUCUGAGAGGAUGAUCAGUCACACUGGAACUGAGACACGGUCCAGACUCCUACGGGAGGCAGCAGUGGGGAAUAUUGGAAGAUGGGCGAAAGCCUGAUCCAGCCAUGCAGCGUGUGUGAAGAAGGUCUUCGGAUUGUAAAGCACUUUAAGUUGGGAGGAAGGGCAGUAAGUUAAUACCUUGCUGUUUUGACGUUACCAACAGAAUAAGCACCGGCUAACUUCGUG
rnacentral:rRNA from 1 species